GACGGAGGAUGCAAGCGUUAUCCGGAAUUAUUGGGCGUAAAGCGUCCGCAGGUGGCAUUUCAAGUCUGCUGUCAAAGACCGGGGCUUAACCCCAGAAAGGCAGUGGAAACUGAAAAGCUAGAGAUAGGUAGGGGCAGAGGGAAUUCCCAGUGUAGCGGUGAAAUGCGUAGAGAUUGGGAAGAACACCGGUGGCGAAAGCGCUCUACUGGACCUGCACUGACACUGAGGGACGAAAGCUAGGGGAGCAAACGGG
rnacentral:rRNA from 1 species